CUCUUUCCUACAAGAAGGAUUAAAUUAGAUAUCCGGAUAAAAAUGAUUAUUCCUUGAUUCACUAUGAUGUACUGCUUUAUGGCGAUACUGCGUUACAGGGAAGCUGCGAUUAGCUUAACGACCCACUUGCUGUCGCUUUUUCGCGGUAUCUGAUGAAAGAUUUAUCAGAUUUUCUUCCUCUUCGAUGACCUCAGACGCUGCGUUAUCUUGUGCUAGUUUUAAAAUUAUAAAAUAAACAACAGAGGGAUAAUUUACAUAUACAUAAAUCAUUACAACGUUAAAACGAAAGGAAAGAAAGCAGAGUACCAUUGAAGUACCAUCUUAUGAAAAUAUAUAAUCUAAAAAGAGGUGAAGAAGAAAGAACAAUAAACCAUAAAGGAAAGCGAGUAGAGAGAAUGAAAAAGCAAUAGAGACGAUCGUAGAAGACCGGUUAAUUUUUAAAAGAACGUAAGGUGCGAUGUGAUGGACGUUACCUGGGCAGCAGAUUCAUCAGCCUAGCUAAAGGUCUGCAUGGCGUCAAAGUGUACAACCAAUGGGGAUGCACCAGCCAGUUGGUACCAGUGAAAUAAUCUGAGACGUUCUUGCCUGAAAAUGAUGAACCCCAUUAGGUAUACAGAGGAAGAGCUUUCUUUUGGUCUUGGGAGAUCCAGGGUACAGCGAAGCAGACCAUAAUGAUUCCCUCAUCGAAUUCUCUUGGACCUCUAUCCUGGUCCAUCAGUUCCACCUCCGCCAUGUCGACGCUGUUGUACGCUGGCUUCAAGAUACCCUGGAACUAUAAUUAUUCUAAUUUUAAAAAUCUCUGAUCCAUAAAACAAUAAAUAGAUAAUUGUAAUUGAAAAUUACCACUGGCCGGAGGUCUGGAUGAAUCAGGAUGAAACCAUUGUUGGUCACAAUGAACGCAUACCCGUUGACACCGAGCUGCAAACAGAAGAAUAUAGUUAAAAAUUAAUUGUUAACAAUAGAGAAUGUAAGUAGAAUAUCGACUUACCAAGUGUGGCAUCAUCAGCUUCUGUAUCUCUUCAAUAGGAACAUCCGUACCGGCAACACCGAGGAGAUCGGCGAUCCUCGUCUGCAAACAAUCAUGAUCGUGUUUUAACAAGAUCCUAUGUAACGUUGGUGUAAUCGAAAUUACGAAUCAUCAUCAUCCCAAGUCGCAUAACCAUAAGCGUAUCUACCUUCUUGAAUAUAAAAAACGCUAUCACAAUGAAA